AGCCGUGGCAACCACAUCAUUGAGUGCAGCGUUGACGAUAGAAAUUCCACCAAUAGAUUUGAUAAUAUCUAUCUAUUUGUGGAAUGCCAUUGAUAUUGUUAACCCUGCACUCAAUAGUAUGUUUGCCAAUGGCU
rnacentral:pre_miRNA from 1 species